AAAUUGAAGAGUUUGAUCAUGGCUCAGAUUGAACGCUGGCGGCAGGCCUAACACAUGCAAGUCGAGCGGUAGCACAGAGAGCUUGCUCUCGGGUGACGAGCGGCGGACGGGUGAGUAAUGUCUGGGAAACUGCCUGAUGGAGGGGGAUAACUACUGGAAACGGUAGCUAAUACCGCAUAACGUCGCAAGACCAAAGUGGGGGACCUUCGGGCCUCAUGCCAUCAGAUGUGCCCAGAUGGGAUUAGCUAGUAGGUGGGGUAAUGGCUCACCUAGGCGACGAUCCCUAGCUGGUCUGAGAGGAUGACCAGCCACACUGGAACUGAGACACGGUCCAGACUCCUACGGGAGGCAGCAGUGGGGAAUAUUGCACAAUGGGCGCAAGCCUGAUGCAGCCAUGCCGCGUGUAUGAAGAAGGCCUUCGGGUUGUAAAGUACUUUCAGCGAGGAGGAAGGCGUUAAGGUUAAUAACCUUAGCGAUUGACGUUACUCGCAGAAGAAGCACCGGCUAACUCCGUGCCAGCAGCCGCGGUAAUACGGAGGGUGCAAGCGUUAAUCGGAAUUACUGGGCGUAAAGCGCACGCAGGCGGUUUGUUAAGUCAGAUGUGAAAUCCCCGGGCUCAACCUGGGAACUGCAUUUGAAACUGGCAAGCUUGAGUCUUGUAGAGGGGGGUAGAAUUCCAGGUGUAGCGGUGAAAUGCGUAGAGAUCUGGAGGAAUACCGGUGGCGAAGGCGGCCCCCUGGACAAAGACUGACGCUCAGGUGCGAAAGCGUGGGGAGCAAACAGGAUUAGAUACCCUGGUAGUCCACGCUGUAAACGAUGUCGACUUGGAGGUUGUUCCCUUGAGGAGUGGCUUCCGGAGCUAACGCGUUAAGUCGACCGCCUGGGGAGUACGGCCGCAAGGUUAAAACUCAAAUGAAUUGACGGGGGCCCGCACAAGCGGUGGAGCAUGUGGUUUAAUUCGAUGCAACGCGAAGAACCUUACCUACUCUUGACAUCCAGAGAACUUAGCAGAGAUGCUUUGGUGCCUUCGGGAACUCUGAGACAGGUGCUGCAUGGCUGUCGUCAGCUCGUGUUGUGAAAUGUUGGGUUAAGUCCCGCAACGAGCGCAACCCUUAUCCUUUGUUGCCAGCGGUCCGGCCGGGAACUCAAAGGAGACUGCCAGUGAUAAACUGGAGGAAGGUGGGGAUGACGUCAAGUCAUCAUGGCCCUUACGAGUAGGGCUACACACGUGCUACAAUGGCAUAUACAAAGAGAAGCGACCUCGCGAGAGCAAGCGGACCUCAUAAAGUAUGUCGUAGUCCGGAUUGGAGUCUGCAACUCGACUCCAUGAAGUCGGAAUCGCUAGUAAUCGUAGAUCAGAAUGCUACGGUGAAUACGUUCCCGGGCCUUGUACACACCGCCCGUCACACCAUGGGAGUGGGUUGCAAAAGAAGUAGGUAGCUUAACCUUCGGGAGGGCGCUUACCACUUUGUGAUUCAUGACUGGGGUGAAGUCGUAACAAGGUAACCGUAGGGGAACCUGCGGUUGGAUCACCUCCUUACCUGAAAGAA
rnacentral:rRNA from 1 species